GGAUCUUCUUCUAAAAAUGGUCAAGUUUUCCUACGCCCAACAAAUGCGAUCCCUUGUUCCAUAUUGUCAAAAGUCACCCUGGCUGGUUGGAGGCUAUGGAGAAAGAGAUGGAUGCCAUAGCUGAAAAAUCAACUUGGGAGCUUAUUCCCUACUCCAAAGACAUGAACAUCAUACAAUGCAAGUGGGUGUUUCGUGUCAAAAAGAAAGCAGAUGGAACAGUUGAUAACUCUAAAUACCGGCUUUACUAACUUUUGGUUGGUAUCUAAUAUUGUUUGUUUACUUAUCUUGACUUUGUAACUGCUCUUGCAUUUUGAUGGUUCCACAUGCUGCUUGCACCGGUUGGGUUCCGAUGUGACACAACUGCCUUUGUCUAAUAAUGUUAAUGUUUCAUGAACUAAACGUUUAUCUAAAGCUUCUUGUGGGCAGUGGCGCUCAAAAGGUAUGUGUUUAUGUUUGUUGAUUACCUUUUAAUUAUUAACAGUUGCACAUUUGUAUAUAAAGAAUAUUAGUGGUUUAGUGUAGAUUGGAUUAUGUAAAAUUUUGGCAUAUUGCUUGUUUGUAAAUUAAUGUGCCUUU